rnacentral:rRNA from 1 species
AUGGCCGCGGUUGGGGGGCUGAUCGCGAGAGCCGUCGGGAACCAAAUCGCCAGCAAGCUGGGCGAGCUCGUGAAAGACGAGAUCGCUCUGUUGUGGGGGUUUCAGGACGACGUCGAGGGCUUGAGGGAGAAGAUGGAAGAUCUGGAUGCCCUGAUGCGGGACGCCGAUGAUAGGCUGCGUCGAGGAGAAAGGGAUGGAGAAGCCGUUGGGCGGUGGCUGGCCAAGUUCAAGGCAGUCGCCUACGACAUUGAGGACGUCCUGGACGACCUGGACGCUACCAAGCUCGUCCUGAAGACCCAGUCCAAGGUCAAGUUAUUCUUUUCUGGGAACAAUCAACUCCUCCAGCGGUCAACCAUAGCCCAUAAUAUGAAGACCGUGAGGGAGAAAAUAGAAAAAAUAGAAAAGGAAGGUCAGGCACUUAAUCUUGUGCGUCAUGUGGCAAGGGCAGAGGGGAGCAGAAACAAGGAAACUUUUGCAGCUUGCAGUACUCAAGGCAUGAAAACUGCAAUGGUGGGGAGGGACACCGAGAAAGAGAAGAUAAUCAACCUGCUACUGACAAGUGAAGCUAAUGAGGGUAUCUCCAUCAUUCCAAUUAUUGGGCUUGGUGGUAUUGGAAAGUCAACAUUAGCUGAAGCAGUUUUGGCAGAUAAGAGGGUCAGUGUCUUCGAUGUCCAAAUUUGGGUUCAUGUGUCUGAGCAGUUUGAUUUGCACACAAUUGGGAGUAGAAUCAUCAGAAGAUUAAAUAGCAAUAUCAACCUUGACAAAUGUGAUCUGCAGUUUAUACAUGAUAAUCUGAAAAAAGAACUUUCUACAAUAAGAUACUUGAUUGUUCUAGAUGAUCUCUGGGAAGAAGAUGGAAAUAACCUAGAAGAGUUGAAGCGGAUUUUGCAAUGUGGAUGCAAGGGUAGCAGGAUUAUAGUAACUACACGCAACCAGAGCAUAGUGCAAACACUUAGAACUGGUUUUCUUGCGAAAGACCAGAAAAUCUGCCCUGUGCCUGAGUCUGACCAAAUCAGUUUGGGUGUUUUAUCACCUGAUGACUGCUGGGAAGUAAUGAAGCAAAGGGCACUUGGACCUAAUGAUGACCAUAGUGGUUUGCAAGAAAUUGGAAGGGAAAUUGCAGCAAAGUGUGGGGGGUUACCAAUCGUGGCAAAUGCUCUUGGGCAAGUAAUGUUUGAGCGAAGGACUGUUGAGGCAUGGGAAGAUAUAAGAGACACCAAAGUUGACUUGGGUUUGAGAGAAGAACAUCAAAACAAGGCAUUAGAGCGUCUAAUGCUUAGCUACUGCUACAUGAAGCUUGAGUUUAAAAUGUGUUUCACAUAUUUGGCGGUCUUCCCCAAGGGUUCUGUGAUGGAUCAGCACCAUCUAAUCCAGCAAUGGACCGCUCUCGGAUACAUUAAGGCAUAUGAUGAUGGUGAAAGGUGUAUCAACUAUCUUCUUGGGAUGUCGUUUCUUCAUAUUUCACAGUCAUCCUCCGUUGAUCCAGGUCCAAUGCAUGCCAAAACUUCUCAAAAGUUCACCAUGCAUGAUUUGGUGCAUGAUCUUGCAUCAGUAAUUACUUCCAAAGAGUUCAUCAUUUUGGACGCUGAUGCUACCGAACCAAGGGGCUGGAAUAGAGCUCGUUAUUGCCGGCAUGCACAAUUGAUCAACUACCAAAAUCAAACCACGGUUUUCAAAGACCUGCCACCCACAGCUAGAACCCUCCAUUUUAGGUAUUCAGGAAAAUUGCAACUUCCCAAAAUGGCAUUUUCUCGAUCCAAGUACAUACGUGUGCUGGAUUUAAGUGGGCAUUCAGUUGGAAGGCAAUCUACUUCAAGCAACUUAGACCUUCAUGGAAGUUCAGUUGAGGGGCAAUCCACUUCCAGCAAUGUGGUACUGCCAUCGUCCAUUCAUAAAUCGAAGCUGCUUAGGUACCUUGAUGCCACAUCCUUGCCAAUUACAUCGCUUCCAAAGUCUUUCCACACACUAAAACACAUGCAAACUUUAAUUCUAUCCAAAUGUGCACUUGAAACAUUGCCUGACACUAUCUGUAGCCUCAACAAGCUUUGCUAUCUGGAUCUAUCUGGUAAUGUCAGCCUUACUGAGCUCCCGGCGUCACUUGGGAAGCUCUCCAAACUCUCUUUCAUCAACUUAUUGGGGUGUUCCGUGCUCCAAGAGUUACCCGAGUCCAUCUACGAGCUAACUUGUUUACGUCACCUAGACAUGUCUGAGUGUUGUACCAUUAAAAAGUUACCUGAUAAAUUUGGCACCCUUUUGAAACUCAUAUUCCUAAACUUGUCUGGUUGUUCCAAGAUAACCAAUCUACCUGACAAUCUUAGACUCCAGUCUUUGGAGCAUAUGAACCUAUCAAAUUGCCAUGAGCUAGAAAACCUGCCAAAAGAUUUUGGCAACCUUCAAAGGCUUAGGUUCUUGAGCCUUUCUGAUUGCUACAAGGUUUCAUUGCUGCCAGAAUCAUUUUGCCAACUUAUUCAUCUAAAGUUCUUAGAUCUUUCUGACUGCCAUGAGCUCAUGGAACUCCCUGAAUGUUUUGGUCACCUUUUUGAGCUUGACUCUUUGAACCUAACAAGUUGUUGCAAGCUGCAAGUACUGCCCGAGUCAUUCUGCAAAUUGUCUAAGCUGAGGUGUCUCAGUUUGUCUUAUUGUAUGAGGCUUGAUAAGCUCCCACCUUCGUUCGGUGACCUUAAGCUUCAAUCAUUGGACAUAUCUUCUACAGAAUCUCUCAAUGCCUUGCCAGAUAGCAUUGCUGAAAUGACAAGUCUCACUCGAUUUGAGGCCAUGGCAGGAGCUCCUGAUGUGAUGGCACGCGUUGAGGAAAUUAAAAAGCAUCUUAUUAUUUCAGAAGAAAUAAAGCAUGUUGUACAACAGAGAGAAAAUAAAGGAUGCAGCAGUAUAGUGGAACUUGCAGAUUUAACUUGUUAUGAGUUGGAUGUUCAAGAGCUUCAGAAUGUCAAGCAUCCAGAAGACGCGGAGAGAGCAAAGUUGCGUGAUAAAUCAGAUCUGAGGCAACUAACUCUUCACUGGGGAACCAACGGAGGCGAGGGUAAAUCUGUGUUGGAGAAGCUCACACCUCCCCGGACUCUUGAUUAUUUUUAUCUAUUCGGGUAUAUGAGCAAGGAUUUCCCUAAAUGGAUGUGUGACAUAUCUUCCUACCUCCCUUCUCUGACCUACCUCAGCCUUUCUGAUUUAGGAACAUGUGAUACUCUUCCUCCAUUUGGGCAGCUACCAAAUUUAAGAAGCAUAUGUAUGGAGAAAAUGCCCAACAUCAGGAAAAUAGGCAAGGAAUUCUUUGGGCAGGGCAGACCCUGUGUAAAAUUAAGAUCGAUAAUGUUGGAGUUGAUGGAGAAUUUAACUGAAUUGUGGACAACAAGGUCGGGUGAAGAAAAUGAAGAGUUCUUAAUUCCUAAUUUGCACUCUUUGUGUGUGUCGAACUGCCCAAAAUUGAAGUUUCUGCCAUAUCCGCCAAGAAGUAUGAUUUGGUACUUGGAAAACACUGAUGAGAUUAUUGCAGAAGGAGGAUUUGGGAAGCUUUCAUCUUCUGCACUUCCUUUUCACAUGGUAAUAAAUAAUUGCAGUUUUUCUCCAGACAAUUGGGAUAGACUUCAUCACUUCCCCACCCUUGAAGUAUUUCAAGUUGAAUCCUGCAAGGGCUUGAGGGCAUUGCCAGAGGUCAUUAGAUGCUUCACCUCUCUAAAAAGCCUAGUUUUGAAGUCACUGAAGGAAUUGGAGUCACUACCGAAAUGGUUGGGGUGCUUCAUUUCCCUGCAACGUCUUCUCAUCAAGGAUUGUCCCAAGCUAACAUCUUUACCAGAAAGCAUGAAGAACCUUACUGCUCUGAAACUGCUACAGCUGCAGGGGUGCAAAGGCUGGGAAAUAUUGCCGGAAUGGAUAGGGAAGCUCACUUCACUACAAGACUUUCAAAUCAUUGAUUGCCCCAACUUGACAUUUUUGCCAGAGAGCAUGAAGGGCCUUACUUCUUUAACAGAGCUUUGGAUAGAGGAGUGCCAAGGCCUAGCUAUGUUGCCAGAAAGCCUAGGACAGAUAAUUUCCCUGCAAAAGUUUCAGAUCAUCGAUUGUCCCAACCUGACAACUUUGCCUGAAAGCAUGAAGGGCCUUACUUCUUUAACAGAGCUUUGGAUAGAGGAGUGCCAAGGCCUAGCUAUGUUGCCAGAAUGCCUAGGACAGAUGAUUUCCCUGCAAAAAUUUUGCAUCAUCGAUUGCCCCAACCUGACUUUUUUGCCUGAAAGCAUGAAGAAGCUUACUGCUCUCAGAGUCCUAUCUUUGAAGGAGUGCCAACGCCUACAUAUGCUGCCAGAAUGGCUACAAGAACUCACUUCCCUGGAAGAAUUUAACAUCAUGGAUUGUCCCAACCUGAUAUCUUUGCCUCAAAGCAUACAAAACCUUCCAGUCUUGAAGGAACUCUACAUUUGGGGCUGUCCGAUUCUGGUCGAGAGGUGCCAAGGGGAGGAUGCAGGCCUUAUUUCUCAAAUCCCGGAAGUGACGUUACAUGUACCAGAAGAAUGA